rnacentral:rRNA from 1 species
AUUGAACGCUGGCGGCAUGCUUUACACAUGCAAGUCGAACGGCAGCACGGACUUCGGUCUGGUGGCGAGUGGCGAACGGGUGAGUAAUACAUCGGAACGUACCCAGUAAUGGGGGAUAACUAUCCGAAAGGAUAGCUAAUACCGCAUACGCCCUACGGGGGAAAGAGGGGGAUCGCAAGACCUCUAGUUAUUGGAGCGGCCGAUGGCUGAUUAGCUAGUUGGUAGGGGAAAGGCUUACCAAGCCAACGAUCAGUAGCGGGUCUUAGAGGACGAUCCGCCACACUGGAACUGAGACACGGUCCAGACUCCUACGGGAGGCAGCGGUGGGGAAUCUUGGACAAUGGGCGCAAGCCUGAUCCAGCAAUGCCGCGUGCGUGAAGAAGGCCUUCGGGUUGUAAAGCGCUUUUGUCAGGGAGCAAAUCCUUGUGGCUAAUACCCGCCGGGGAUGAGAGUACCUGAAGAAUAAGGACCGGCUAAUUACGUGCCAGCCGCCGCCGUAACAC